UGGGGAAUUUUGGACAAUGGGCGAAAGCCUGAUCCAGCAAUGCCGCGUGUGUGAAGAAGGCCUUCGGGUUGUAAAGCACUUUUGUCCGGAAAGAAAUCCUUGGCUCUAAUACAGUCGGGGGAUGACGGUACCGGAAGAAUAAGCACCGGCUAACUACGUGCCAGCAGCCGCGGUAAUACGUAGGGUGCAAGCGUUAAUCGGAAUUACUGGGCGUAAAGCGUGCGCAGGCGGUUUGCUAAGACCGAUGUGAAAUCCCCGGGCUCAACCUGGGAACUGCAUUGGUGACUGGCAGGCUAGAGUAUGGCAGAGGGGGGUAGAAUUGCCACGUGUGAGCAGUGAAAUGCGUAGAGAUGUGGAGGAAUACCGAUGGCGAAGGCAGCCCCUGGGCCAAUACUGACGCUCAUGCACGAAAGCGUGGGGGAGCAAACAGGAUU
rnacentral:rRNA from 1 species